UCGUAGAAUCUACUACCGGAUCGGAAUC
rnacentral:sRNA from 1 species